UCAUACAAGAAGCCCGAAUCAAUAGCCAUUCGGCGUAAAGAGUGGUCACAUAUUAUCUACGCCAACUAAGAUCGAAAUGCAACUGAGCUGUCAUAAGCCCAAGAUGCAUCUAAGUCCAACCUGAACACCAUCUUAGCCACCAUGACCAAUUUAAACCCACGAAAGCCAGGGCACAAACUGGGAUUAGAUACCCCACUAUGCCGGGCCCUAAAUCUAGAUACCCAAGCAUCUACUUACGUAUCCGCCUGAGAACUACGAGCACAAACGCUUAAAACUCUAAGGACUUGGCGGUGCCCCAAACCCACCUAGAGGAGCCUGUUCUGUAACCGAUAAUCCACGAUCCACCCAACCAUCCCUCGCCGACACAGCCUACAUACCGCCGUCGCCAGCCCACCUCCAAUGAAAGAACAACAGUGGGCCCAAUAGUCUACGCUAACAAGACAGGUCAAGGUAUAGCCCAUGGGAUGGAAGCAAUGGGCUACAUUUUCUAAAAUAGAACAAACGAAAAAGGGCAUGAAACCGGCCCUUAGAAGGAGGAUUUAGCAGUAAAGCAGGAUCAUCUUAGGCCUACUUUAAGACGGCCCUGAGGCACGUACAUACCGCCCGUCACCCUCUUCAAGAGCCACCAACCCCAAAUAAAUAACCCACCCACCCCAGGCUAAAGACGAGGUAAGUCGUAACAA
rnacentral:rRNA from 1 species